CCUCUUAUUCUUUCUUAGUUCUGUCCGUUUACGUAGAUGCUUCUUAGCAGCGGUAAAGACAAGAAAUCAGCAGAAAUCGAACAGGUUUCCCGAUCUUUGAGAAAGAGGUAAAUUCCUUGGCCACCGCUCCCUUUAUCGCCGCAAACGCGAAGCCUUAUCUCUAAAAUGUGGUAAAGAGACCAUGCAAACAAUGACUUCAGUAAUUUCAA